rnacentral:rRNA from 1 species
AGUGAACGCUGGCGGUAGGCCUAACACAUGCAAGUCGAACGGCAGCACAGUAAGAGCUUGCUCUUACGUGUGGCGAGAGGCGGACGGGUGAGGAAUACAUCGGAAUCUACUUUUUCGUGGGUGAUAACGUAGGGAAACUUACGCUAAUACCGCAUACGACCUACGGGUGAAAGCACGGGAUCUUCGGACCUUGCGCGAUUGAAUGAGCCAAUGUCGGAUUAGCUAGUUGGCGGGGUAAAGGCCCACCAAGGCGACGAUCCGUAUCUGGUCUGAGAGGAUGAUCAGACAGAUUGGAAGUGAGAAACGGUACAGACUCCUACGGGAGGAAGCAGUGGGGAAUAUUGCACGAUGGGGGAAAGCCGGAUACAGCAAUACCGCGUGAAUGAAGAAGGAGUUAGGGUGGGAGAGCGAUUUAGUUGGGAGAGAAAAGCAGCAGGUUUACACGGGGCUGUUAUGACGGUACCCAAAGAAUAAGCACCGGCUAACUUCGUG